ACGUGACGAGCCCACAACAUGCAUUUGUAUUGGAACCCUGGCUGUGUGAAGGCAGAACGAGUCAGAGUUUCCUAUUUUGGUCGCCGUUAAAGCUUCGAGGCAAGACGCAGAAUUGAACAUGGAAAGACCCAGCGUGAGUGUGAAACGGCCUGGAUGCUUGCAACAAGAUUGGACGGUUACAUACGCUUUUUUAUAAAGGCAGCAUAAGAUCUGCGAAUGCCUACGUGAACGGAAAGGUUGUGGUGUUCACAUGCAAAGUUGAUGGAAAUGACUCCGAUCAUACGUCGGAUGAAAUACCACUGAAUGUGACGAUCAAACGUCAGAGUACAAGCGGUAGCAAACACGUUGUCAAAGUCCAGUACAGUGGUGACGAUCUUAACGAUUACUUCUAGAAAUGGAAUUCAAGCUUUCCCCACUGGAAAAUAUAAUAAGACAUUAUUCAAGUGUGAUUACGCGUUUGUUUACGAUACAUUGAUCAAAUCUUUUUUUCAAAAUGUGACACAUCAGUUUUCUAAACAAAUUCUAAUUGUUCAGACAUUUUGCAGCCAACAUCAUUUAAACAUUUUUUUUCUAUUUUCGCAAUUUGUGGUAAAAAGUGACGGAACGGAAAGCUUAAUUUGAUUCUGAUUGGUUGUAAACACAUUUGAACAACGCAGCGAUAGUCAAUAAGUGGUUUGUUGUAAUUGAUCUGUAGGAUGAACAGUCUUUUUGUAUCAUGGUAAUAAAAUAACUAUUUACAAUUUCAAA